GUGUAUUUUUAAUCUUACUUGGUUAAUGUAAAUAGCUACCUGUGGCUAGUGGUUCCUGCAUCAGCCAGCACAGGCCGAGUUGGUCAGGCUCAGGUAGUGAGCCAUUUUGCCUUUUAGUUUCCAGUGUGCCCCGUGUCCUUUGGCUUUUUUUUGUUGUUGUUCCAAUAACUGGCAGAGCCAGCCUAGCUUCUAAUUCACUCUUAUUUCCAGACUUAAUUUCCCUGCCAGCUUGAGAAACAAGGAAGGGAUGCUUUCUGAGUCAUUGUUGAUGUGCCUCAGAUGGCUACACACACAGCUUUCACUUUGAUCACAAAAGACAACUACGUGUACUUUGUGCCUGUGUGUGCAUGAGGGUAAACUGGUUGCAAUAUUAAAAGACCAAAAGCUGUUUCUGAUGGGAAAUAUUGAAUCAGCAGAAUUGGAAACACAGCUGUGUGGUUCUGAUGGGGACCUACUACUUUCUUCUGUCAGUCAGUGCUCACUUAGCACUCAUUGUGUGCAGGGCAUGCACUAUGCCAGGCUCUGUAGGGAGACAUCAAGGAGAUGCUCAGCACAGGUUCCUGAAACCUGUCCCUUACUUGUCUCUGUUGAUUGUCUUCAGGAAUUUAAGAAGUUCGUAAAACAGUGAAGCGGUCCAGGUCUCUAGCAAGAAGAGGGACAGUGUACAGGGAAAGAGGUGAGUUAUAUCCGAGAGGACAGUACCUGUCUGCGGGUUGUUUUCAUCAGCGGUAUGGUGCCCUGGGUCUUGCCUCGUUCCUGAGCCCAGUGGCACCAUUUGCAGGACAGCUGGCCGAGGGAGGACAGAGUGCAGUCGGAAAGCAAGCCCUUCCCUCCAGCCCCGUGCUCCCACCUCUGCGGCCAGGCACUCAGGCAUUCUGGAGGUUCUCUCCCCAUGCCCCCUAGUCUCCAGCCCUUCCUUCCCCCAGUCUGUUUUGACAGCCUCCUAACUGGCUUUUUUGUCCCCUCUCCACUCACCUUCAGAUCACCCUAGCACUGCUGCCAGAGGACUGUCCAGUCACUGCUCACAAAUCCUGAUCACAACGGGACUCACAAAGCCCCCCUUUGCAUAUUGGAUUCUUUUCCUUCUUUUUAAUUUAGCCUUUCUGUGUGUGUUUUGAAAGCGGGGUAUUGCUUUAGGUUUGUCUUGAAUUUAGUCUGGAGUUUCUUUGACGAGGGAAUGUAGACCACGGGUGUUUGUUACGAAUACUCUGGUGGCAUAUUCUCUCCUGGCCACAUCUGCCGGGGCUGGGUCCGGGUGUGGUCCUGGGCAGCCUGCCACCCUGGGGCUGACUCCAUUUCUUCAUCUGUAGAAGAGGGAUAAUUAUGAUAACACUGUAGGAUUAUUGUGAGCAUUUAAACCUCAUGGUAUGUUCAGAGUUUUGGCAAAGUACAUGGAUAGAGGAGGGGGUUCAACGUGCUAACAGCCAUUUGGUUGUUAGUAUUCUUUUUUAUACUAGUUGGUUUUCGUUUCUUUUUUGGUCCUCCUCCAGCUUACGCGAAUUGAAAUUCGUUUCCCUUUAGGUACAUCUAUUUAGAAGGCAAAUUCCUUCAUUAAAAACCCACCAGGAUCAUGUGACUGGCAAUUCCAAGGUUUAUAUACCCAGGAGAAUUGAAAACCUGGAUCCACACAGAGGCUUGUACACAAAAGUUUAGAGCAGCAUUAUUUAUUGUAGCCAAAAAGUGGAAACAACCCAGGUGGCCAUGAUGAAUGAAUGGAUAAACAAAAUAUGAUAUGUCCACACUAGGGAAUAUUAUACUCAGCCAUAGAAAGGAACAAAGUCCCGGUCAAUGCCACAAACACAUUGGCUGAACCUUGAGGACAUUGCGCUGAGUGAAAGAAGCCAGACCCCGAAGGUCACAUAUUGUCUGAUUCCUGUACAUGAAAUGUAGUGAGUCGAGCACACUUCCUGGUUCAUCCAGGGGAUGGGCAAAUGGAGUGUACUCUAUGCCAGGAAGUGUGUCCGACUCUGCAGCCAAGAGCUCUGCACCUUGUCACUCUUUUGAAAAGUGUUUUGCAAACAUACUUCAUGCUGUCCUGCAAAUGUCCAUGAAGAUCCAGGCAGAAUUUAACCAUUCAUAAACUUAUUGAUGUUUUUUUGUUUUUGUUUUUGUUUUUGCAACUGCCCUGAUUUCUUCAAGAUCAUGGUUAUCACGUGUUUUCAGUCACAUUCGAUACAUAACUGGCUAACGCUUUAUCUGAUUUAGUCACAGAGUAGUCCUUUGAUAAGAGCCAACAUACGACAACGGGACUUUUGGGGGAUGGAAGGGACACUCUGGUUUCUUCCUCAUUUUUCUGAUAUGUCUGAAUUUCUCGCUUCCACACUCCUUAGAGGGGAAAGUUGUCUUUUUGCUUCAGACUGCCAGCCUUCUGCUGGGAGACAAGAGGCCAUGAUCCCCACUCACUAACUUAAUACAGGAAGUGAAAAGUAUCACGCAAAUUGCUGCCGCUCUAACUUCUGUCUUGCCUCUGCCUCUUAAGUCAUUGGAGGCAUUCAUUUGGCUCUGCUGUAACGGACCCCUAACGUUCUUCCAGGAGAAAUACUAGAGCUUUGGAGAGACACGAACCCUGCGGUGUAUGAAUUGACUGCUUGAGAAGUGUUAGUGUCGGUUCUGGAAUGGGGCCUGUGUCAUAGGUACUUAUGCUGAAAGGAAGUGUCAAAUUUUCCAUAGUCCGAGCUUUCCAGAAUCUAGUUGGCUGCUUGCCUCUGAGUCAGAAUUUCUUUUCUAAAAUAAAUGAUUUGGAACGCUCUUAUCUUUACACGCAGACGUAGCGCUUCAGUUCCUCCUGCCUGGGAAAGUUAGCUCUGCAGCUGAAACCCGGUACAUGGUGUUGUCCUGGUUUAAUCAGCUUCCAGAAACUCAUUAAAUCCCACACUAACUUUGUAAGGAAACAGCAGCGUGUAUUAGAUUCCUUUUUGUUCCCCACUUCGAUGCCAUUGUUUAUUUUUUUUUUUGCCUUUUUUUGUUUCCUAGUCUUACCUCCUAUUCUUUCUUCUUAAUUUUGUUUGGUCAAAGGCUUUCUUUUAACAUUCGGGUUCCAUUUUGACUGUUUCACCUUGGUAGUAAUUCUGCUUAUUCUUUCUUCCUUUUUUCUUUUUUUAAAAAUUUUUAAUGUUAUUAUUUAUUUUUGAGAACAAGCAUGAGCAGGGGAGGGACAGAGACAGAAAGGGAGACACAGAAUUUGGAACAGGCACCAGGUUCUUCUGAGCUUUUAGCACAGAGACCGUUGUGGUGCUUGAACUCACAAACUGCAAGAUCAUGACCUGAGCCGAAGUUGGACGCUUAACCGACUGAGCCACCAAAGCUCCCCUCUUACUUUUUUCUUUCUUCAUUUAAGAACCCCUUUCCAGUGAGCGUGCUUUUCUCCUCUAGGGAUUGCAGUUGAAAAGAAAACCUAGUUGCCUGGAAAUUCAUGUCACUAGCCAUUGCAUGACCUUUCUUAAGUUGAGUGAAUGAAUGAUAAAAUCAUAAAAUACUUAGUAUAUUCAUCAGGGUCUCUAGAGAAACACAACCAGUAUGAUACACAUGUGAUCCUUGAACAACGUGGGAGUUAGAGGCCCCCCCCUUCACCCCAUCCCAUGCCGUCGAAAAUCCGGGUAUAACUUUUGAUUCUCCAAGCACAUAACUAAAUUAAAUCCCAUAACUUAACUUCUGGUCUACUGUUGACCAGAAGCCUUGCUGAUAAUAUCAACAGUUGAUUAACACUUAUGUUGUAUGUUAUAUGUAUUAUAUACUGUAUUCUUUACAGUGAAGCAAGUUAGAGAAAGUGGUACUAAGAAAAUUGUAAGGAAGAGAAAAUGCAUUUAUAAUACUGUACUUUAAAAAUAUCUGUGUGUAAGUAGACCCAUACAGUUCAAAUCUGUGUUGUUCAAGGGUCAGCUGUGUGUGUGUGUGUGUGUGUGUGUGUGCGCGCGCGAGCGAACACAAAAAGGACUUCUUAUAAUGAAUUGGCUCAUAGGAUUAUGGAGGCUGGAAAGUACAAAAUCUCCAGAGUCAGUGCCCCAGUUUGAGUCCAGAGGCCAAAACUGCUGUAGAACCAGUAAGAGCUGAUGUCCUAGCUUGAAGGCCAUGAGGCAGGAGAAUUGGCUCACAUGGGGGAGGUCAGCCUUUUGUUCCAUUCAGGCCUUCAACUGAUUAGGUGAGACCCAUCCACAUUAGGGAGAGCUAUCUGCUUUACUCAAGUCCACCAAUUAAAAAAUUUUUUUAAUGUUUUUUUUUGAGACAGAGGGAGACAGAGUGCGAGUGGUGGAGGGACAGAGAGAAAGGGAAACACAGAAUCCGAAGCAGGCUCCAGGCUCUGAGCUCUCGGCACGGAACCUAUCGCAGGGCUCAAACCCAUGAACUGCGAGGUCAUGACCUGAGCUGAAGUUGGACGCUUAACCAACUGAGCCACCCAGGCGCCCCCAAGUCCACCAAUUUAAAUGCUAAUCUCAUCCAGAAACACCCUCACAGAAACACCCAGAAUAAUGUUUGACCGCCUACCUGGGCACCUGGUGGCCCCAUCAAAUUGACACUAAAAUUAACCAUCACAGGCAGCUGUUGCUUUCUCAGUAGCCUGGAGUUGGAGUUGUGUGCUGUUUGAUUUGAACAGGAGCUGAACCCAGAGAAAAGGGACUGAAACCUCAGUUCGGAGCUAUGACUUUAUUUUGCAGGUUUUACGCCCCUCUGCUCUGCUCUCCUGGUCAUGGAUCCUCUUACCACGUUUUGUAUGUGCUCUUUUUCUUGGUCAUUGGUCAAUGACUUCUCAUUCACCAUAGGAAUUGCUCCAGAUGUCCUAAUUUUUUAAGAUCUUUCCCUAACUCCUGACCCUUUGCUUUCUGCUUGAGAUCUGGCCUCUUCUUUCGCAGACGGGAGAAACUGAGACUUGGACAGGUCUGUUACCUGGCCUGAGGUCACACGGCUAUUGGAUGGUCAAACUGGGAUUUAAUUUGGAGUGAUUGGGCUUGUCAGUCCUGGGAGCCUCUUGGGAGCCAGGCACCAAGCCAAGCGCUAAAUGCUCUCGUUUUCCCGAUGUCUCUAACCUUGAUGCCUAUGUCCUUCCCAUUUCUGGAAGGGCUGCAACGAGUAUUUCCCUGACACUCCACGUGCAACACUGCACUGAUCUUAGCAUCCAGUACCUGCCCUUGGUGCACAGGCCUCUGGCACUUGGCUCCUAUAAUUUUCUUUCCUGCUUAUUUUCCCCCUUUAUAUUUGUGGUAUGUAAACCUAAUUCUGUUCUUUCAUCCUAAAAGCUCUCCCUUGACCCUGUGUCCCUCUUGAGCUGCUCCUGAUCCCUUCUUUUCCUUUUAUUCCCCAGUCUUUAUUUUUAACUCCAAAUAACUAACUCCUUAGCCUGCUGAGACCCAAGCUGCUGCUAUCUGCCCAUCCACUGAAACUAUUCUUGGCAAAGCCAUGGAGAGCAUCCUGUUCAGUCACAUGUAGUGGCCGCCCUGCUUGACUCCAUCGCAUCUGUCACUGCUGACCAUUCCUUCCCCCAGGAACUCUCGUUCCUCCUGGUUCUUGCACGGCACUCUCCGUCUUCUGUGCAGCUGUUCCACUGUGGUCCUCACACUCGACUGUGCGACUGUGCGUGAACAUCGCCCCGAGGGCUUGCCGGCCCCACCCCAGGACUGCCGAUUCAGCAGGUCCAGGGUGGGCCCAAGGGUUUUGCCUCUAACUGGACUCCGUUGAUGCCGCUGCCGCUCCAGAGACCACACUCUCGAUGCUGACAUUGCAGUUUUUCCAGAAUGUUCUCUCAUUAAUCCUUUGUCUCUGCAAUAGCAGGCACCUCUUCUUGGGCAUGGUGAGCGACGUGGUUAUUGGUUGUUUUUGGCAGCCCGGAACUGGUCCUCCUCCCCUGAGUGAUGGUACCCCGAUCCUCCAGCCCCUGUUCUCCGGGGUGGACAACCGUGGCCUGCGGUUCCAGGACAGCCUAAUGUGGGAGCAAUGCGCCACAGAGCUCAGUUUGAAUCCCGGCUGUCAACGACUUAGAGCUAUGGCCCUGUGCAAUUCCCGCAGCCCACCGUGUCCAGCUACAGACCACCCUCCUCACGCAUCAACACAAGGUCAAUGGUAGCCUAAGACGGCGUCACAACGGCUAUGUCAUUCCCGUGCCUUCAUCUCGUCACGCGCGCGUUUUAUCACCUCACGUCACCACAAGAAGCGUACGUACGGUCACAUAGGUAUGUCCGUCUAGGAAACAACGCGGUGUAUGUAGGGGUCGGCACUAUCCGUGGUUUCAGGUGGCAUUGGGGGUCUUGCAGCGCGGGCCCCACUCAUAAGCGAGGGGGCUACUGUAGCGACGUGAGGAAUCACAAGGAAGCACCAAGUGGAGUCACAGGGCCUGGAUUUGAGUCUCAGCUCCAUUGCUGACCGGCUGUGUGAUCCCAGGUAACUCAUACAACCUCUCGAGCGUCGGUUUUCCUCAUCCAUAAAAUGGGAACGCUACUGAUAAUAGGCGCUUCAGGAGACUGUGGUGAACUAAGGUACGUGAGCUUGUUUUUUAAGCUAGAAAGCCUCACCAGUGGUUCCCUGGGAUCAUUUUUCCCCCCAGACUGAAACAGCCUGGUUCUAAAAACCAGGUAACAUUAAGAGAGCCUCUGACUCCGGCCUCACUUGCUUGGCUGGAGUUCAGCUCACUUAAAUUCCUCCCCGGCGGUUCUGAAAUCGCUGGGCCAGAGGUACCGGCAGAGAGUCUGUUUUGCUCUGAGCGAGGAACUCCAAGCCUUUUCUGGGGACAUGGCCCUUUAUGCACAGGCUCUCCCAUUUUCACCCACUUGACCCCACUACCUUUUCUACACCUGGUGGGACUAGGGGUGGACUCUGCUCCCAGGGUAUCUGACGGGCCAACAGCUCCCCAAGCCUCCCCAGGCAUCCACGUGCCGGAGACCCUGACCCUCUCCUGUGCCGAAGUUUGGACUCCGGGGCACAAGAUGGGAGAGGGAGGCUUGGGAGCAGAGUGAGGGUAGCUGAUGGCACACCUCACCCCUGCGGGGGGCAGAGGUGCCCGGUGCCUGGGAGAAGCUGUUCUGCCUCCUGCUGUUCUCCAGCUGUGUUCAGUUCCCCUUCUUUCCGGCCUUCCCUGUAAACUCCCACUGGUUAGGGCAACCCGAAGUAUUGCUGUGUCUCUCAGCUUAGAGGAGCCUGAUUGCCAUGGGAGGAUCUCAAGGUCCCUCCAGAGGGAGUGGAGUUUGCUCAGAGCAAAGUGCACCAGCUACUCUAUUUGGAAAAUGGAAACACCCGUUAAGUCUACUGACCAGGGACUGGGAAACAGGACCUUGGCAUCCACACCGCAGUGAGAUCCUACAGCUGGAAAAUAGCACAAGGAGGCCCGUUAGGUACUGAUACGGGGUGCUUGCUCCACAGGACAUUUUCCUCUGCAAAAAAGCGUGAGGUUCAGAACAGUGUGUGUAAUCUGCUGUCACUUGUGCAGCAGAUCAAAGACUAAAAUAUCUCUGGAAUAUCACACAUAAUCUAACGGCACUAGCUGUCCAUGAGGAACGGAGCCAGGUGGCGGUGGUGAGGGAAGGAAUUUUCACUGAACAUCCUGCAAUGGCUUUUCUAAAUCGAGAACACUGAAAUUUAAUCACCUGCUUAAACAGUCAAAUCAGAAAAAAAAGCUUAGAACUGUGGCUUGUGAGGUUGAGCAGUCCUGAGUUCAAACUUUGUCUCCACGAUAUAUUGCUGUGCAUUAGCAAACGAGUGGCUCAACCUCUCUGAAGUCAGCUUUCUUAUCUGUAAAAUAAUAAUAGUAAUGCCUACCUGAUAGGACUGUCAUAAUACUCUACCCUUCUUGGCCCAUAGUAGCCAUUCAACUUUGAUUGGCUAUUGUUGUCAUUGCCAAUUUCCUCACAAGGCAUUUAACAUUUCCCCUUAGCUUGUCCCCUGCUCCUUAAGAUACACAAUUUCAAGGCAGUGUUAUGUUUUGUUUGCAUUUUUUGUCCUUUUUAUUGGUUCGUUUUUGUCCAGUACUCUCCCCAGGAUAAGGGCCUUGGGGGUUGGGCCAAGUAAAUUAGAAUCAGCUUCUGUUGUACUCAAAAUCAGUCCUCUGUUUGAAAUGCGCUCAUUAUUUGGACCCAGCCUAUCUUCCUUUGGAGUGAGUUCUCCCAGUCCCUCCUGUAGUCUCCUGACAGCCCACCGUGGAUUUUCUAAGCACUUCUAAAUGCCUGGUGAACACAGUCUACGUUAAGCUAUGACAUUGGUGGUUAUUAUGGUCCCCAAUUCCCAUCGUCUUCAAUCACAGUAUUGUAUGCACUACAGUCACGGACAUGUGACCAGGAUUCCAGCACAGUGACGGCUCCAAGGGCUCAGGGGCUGGAUAGACGAGGUCCCUGCUGCUUCUAACAGGAGAGAAACAGCAUCCAGGCCAGCUUGGUCCCUGUGCUGGCACUAGGGGGUGCUCUUUUGUUUAGCUAUUUUCUUAAGUUUCCCUUUAGGUUUUUGAAUGGAUGGGCCUGCUGUGAUCAUUUCUUGAUGAAUGAGUGAACAAUAAAAGCUGUAGGAAUGUGA